rnacentral:misc_RNA from 1 species
GAUGAAGAACUCAGCGAAAUGCGAUAAGUAAUGUGAAUUGCAGAAUUCAGUGAAUCAUCGAAUCUUUGAACGCACAUUGCGCCCGCCAGUAUUCUGGCGGGCAUGCCUGUUCGAGCGUCAUUACAACCCUCAGGCCCCCGGGCCUGGCGUUGGGGAUCGGCGGAAGCCCCCUGUGGGCACACGCCGUCCCUCAAAUACAGUGGCGGUCCCGCCGCAGCUUCCAUUGCGUAGUAGCUAACACCUCGCAACUGGAGAGCGGCGCGGCCAUGCCGUAAAACACCCAACUUCUGAAUGUUGACCUCGAAUCAGGUAGGAAUACCCGCUGAACUUAAGCAUAUCAAUAAGCGGAGGA